UUCCCUAUAGCUUAAGGGGUAAAGAAUCUGCCUGCAAUGCAGGAGACCUGGGUUAGAUCCCUGGGUUGGAAA
rnacentral:tRNA from 1 species